CAGCCGCCGCGGGAAUACGUAGGUGGCAAGCGUUGUCCGGAAUUAUUGGGCGUAAAGGGCUCGCAGGCGGUUUCUUAAGUCUGAUGUGAAAGCCCCCGGCUCAACCGGGGAGGGUCAUUGGAAACUGGGAAACUUGAGUGCAGAAGAGGAGAGUGGAAUUCCACGUGUAGCGGUGAAAUGCGUAGGGAUGUGGAGGAACACCAGUGGCGAAGGCGACUCUCUGGUCUGUAACUGACGCUGAGGAGCGAAAGCGUGGGGAGCGAACAGGAUUAGAUACCCCAGUAGUCCCUGUCUCUUAUAC
rnacentral:rRNA from 1 species